UACAGAGACUGCAAGCGUUAUUCGGAUUCACUGGGCGUAAAGGGUGCGCAGGCGGCCAAGUGUGUGAGGCGUGAAAGCCCGGGGCUUAACCCCGGAAUUGCACCUCAAACCACAUGGCUAGAGCAUUGGAGAGGGUAGCAGAAUUCAUGGUGUAGCAGUGAAAUGCGUAGAUAUCAUGAGGAAUACCAGAGGCGAAGGCGGCUACCUGGACAAUUGCUGACGCUCAGGCACGAAAGCGUGGGGAGCAAAAGGG
rnacentral:rRNA from 1 species